UACGGGGGGGGCAAGCGUUGUUCGGAAUUACUGGGCGUAAAGGGCUCGUAGGUGGCCAACUAAGUCAGACGUGAAAUCCCUCGGCUUAACCGGGGAACUGCGUCUGAUACUGGAUGGCUUGAGUUCGGGAGAGGGAUGCGGAAUUCCAGGUGUAGCGGUGAAAUGCGCAGAUAUCAGGAGGAACACCGGUGGCGAAGGCGGGUCUCUGGGCCGAUACUGACGCUGAGGAGCGAAAGCGUGGGUAGCAAACAGG
rnacentral:rRNA from 1 species